CACGUGGGUAACCUGCCCAAGAGAUCGGGAUAACACCUGGAAACAGAUGCUAAUACCGGAUAACAACAGAUGAUGCCUAUCAACUGUUUAAAAGAUGGUUCUGCUAUCACUCUUGGAUGGACCUGCGGUGCAUUAACUAGUUGGUAGGGUAACGGCCUACCAAGGCGAUGAUGCAUAGCCGAGUUGAGAGACUGAUCGGCCACAUUGGGACUGAGACACGGCCCAAACUCCUACGGGAGGCAGCAGGC
rnacentral:rRNA from 1 species